rnacentral:rRNA from 1 species
CCUACGGGGGGCAGCAGUAGGGAAUAUUGCUCAAUGGGGGAAACCCUGAAGCAGCAACGCCGCGUGGAGGAUGAAGGUUUUAGGAUUGUAAACUCCUUUUGUUAGAGAAGAUUAUGACGGUAUCUAACGAAUACGCACCUGCUAACUCCGUGCCAGCAGCCGCGGUAAUACGGAGGGUGCAAGCGUUACUCGGAAUCACUGGGCGUAACGAGUGCGUAGGCGGGGUAAUAAGUCAGAUGUGAAAUCCUGUAUCUUAACUACAGAACUGCAUUUGAUACUGUUAUUCUGGAGUGCGGGAGAGGUAGGUGGAAUGCUUGGUGUAGAGGUGAAAUCCGUAGAGAUCAAGCAGAAUACUCAUUGCGAAGGCGACCUGCUGGAACGCUACUGACGCUGAUGCACGAAAGCGUGGGGAGCAAACAGGAUUAGAUACCCGGGUAGUC